GAUGAAGAACGCAGUGAAAUGCGAUAAGUAAUGCGAAUUGCAGAAUUUCCGUGAGUCAUCGAAUCUUUGAACGCACAUUGCGCCCGCCAGUAUUCUGGCGGGCAUGCCUGUUCGAGCGUCAUUACAACCCUCAGGCCCCCGGGCCUGGCGUUGGGGAUCGGCGGAAGCCCCCUGCGGGCACAACGCCGUCCCCCAAAUACAGUGGCGGUCCCGCCGCAGCUUCCAUUGCGUAGUAGCUAACACCUCGCAACUGGAGAGCGGCGCGGCCACGCCGUAAAACACCCAACUUCUGAAUGUUGACCUCGAAUCAGGUAGGAAUACCCGCUGAACUUAAGCAUAUCAAUAAGCGGAGGA
rnacentral:misc_RNA from 1 species